rnacentral:rRNA from 1 species
CACGGGGGGAGCAAGCGUUGUUCGGAUUCAUUGGGCGUAAAGAGCUCGUAGGCCGCUCUGUAAGUCGAACGUGAAAUCCCCGGGCUCAACCCGGGAACUGCGUCCGAUACUGGCAGGCUUGAAUCCGGGAGAGGGAUGCGGAAUUCCAGGUGUGAGCGGUGAAAUGCGUAGAUAUCUGGAGGAACACCGGUGGCGAAGGCGGCAUCCUGGACCGGCAUUGACGCUGAGGCGCGAAAGCUAGGGGAGCAAACGGGG